rnacentral:tRNA from 1 species
GGGCCGGUAGAUUAGCCCGGUAGUCGCUGCGAACUGUCGUUUCACGGGGCGCGAGUUCAAAUUUCGCCCGGUCCACCA